GACGAACGCUGGCGGCGUGCUUAACACAUGCAAGUCGAACGGAAAGGCCCUGCUUUUGUGGGGUGCUCGAGUGGCGAACGGGUGAGUAACACGUGAGUAACCUGCCCUUGACUUUGGUAUAACUUCAGGAAACUGGGGCUAAUACCGGAUAGGAGCUCCUGCUGCAUGGUGGGGGUUGGAACGUUUCGGCGGUUGGGGAUGGACUCGCGGCUUAUCAGCUUGUUGGUGGGGUAGUGGCUUACCAAGGCUUUGACGGGUAGCCGGCCUGAGAGGGUGACCGGCCACAUUGGGACUGAGAGACGGCCCAGACUCCUACGGGAGGCAGCAGUGGGGAAUAUUGCACAAUGGGCGGAAGCCUGAUGCAGCAACGCCGCGUGCGGGAUGACGGCCUUCGGGUUGUAAACCGCUUUAGCCUGUGACGAAGCGGGAGUGACGGUAAUGGGUAAAGAAGCACCGGCUAACUACGUG
rnacentral:rRNA from 1 species